AGUUAAGAUUAUACUGGAAUAGAGUGGGCCUCUAAACCAUUGUGAUUGUUGCCUAAAAGGGUAUGUCUGGACACAGACAUGCAUAGAGGGAGAAUACCACAUGAAGAGAAAGGCAAAGAUUAGGUGAUUCAGCAGAAGUCACAGGAUGUCAAAGAUUGCCAGCAAAACUACCAGAUGCUAGGAGAGAGGAGGCAUGGAACAGAUUCCUCCCUCCCAACUCUUAGAAGGAACCAGCUCCGCCCACACUUUGAUCUUGGACUUCUGGCCUCCAGAACAGAGAGAAGAUAAAUUUCUAAGUCACCCAGUGUGUGGUAUUUUGCUAUGGCAGACCUAGGAAACUAAUAUACUUGGGGACGCAGAUUCAUGUCAACAGAUAAACAGCCUAUAACUAGCACUUCCCUGGCACCACACUGGCAGGCUGGCAGAGUAAGCAGAGCAUGCAGGUAGAAAUUGGCAGAACUUCAUCUCAAAGGACAUGGCCCAAGAGGAGAAAAUGUUGGAACACUGGAAGUCUAUGGCCUAAACUCAAAGCACAGAUUGUUAUAAAUACCUUUCACUUUUUGCAUCACGCCAGGUCUUCAGUUUUCAUUGCACCACGUGGGAUCUACUUCCAUGACGAGAGAUCGAACCCGGCCCUCUGCACUGGGAGCAUGGAGUCUUAGCCACUGGACCACCAGAGAAGUCUCCAUAUGUCAUCUUUUUUACAUGAAAUAAAUUUCUAGCAUAACAAAAUGUCCUAGGCUCCUCUGGAACUUUUUCAGACCUGAAAUCAAUUGUUUUAUCAAGAAGCCUGGUUCUUUUAGCGGGGAAUGACAUUUAGAAACCAGUAUCUGGGCACUCAACAGGUGUCUUUUACUGAGACUCUCUUUCUCUUUGAAUGUCUAGAAAAUGUCUUCAUUUUGCCCUAAUGCUUGAAUGAGUUUGACUAGUGAAACAAAUUCUAAGUUAGCAAUUCCUUUUCCUCAGCGCUUUGAAAAUAGCAUUGUUGUCUGGCAUGAUAAGAAAUUUGCUGUCCGUCUAAUCGUCUCUUCUGUAUAGUAAUCUUUUCUUCCAUGAUGGCUAUUAAACCUUUUUCUUUAUACUUAUUAUUGUACAAUUUCACUUCAAUGUAACCAGAUGUGAAUUUAUUUUUACUUAUCUUGCUUGAUACUCACCAUGUACGUUUCAUAUGGAGACUCAUAUUUUUCUUCAAUUCUAAAAAACUUUCAACUAUUUUUAUAGCUUUAUUGAGAUAUAAUUUACAUACCAUUAAAUUCACCAAAGUAUGCAAUUCAGUGGUUUUUAGUUUAUUCACAAAGCUAUAUAAUCAUCACCACUAUCUAAGCACAGAAUAUUUUCAACACAGCAAAAAGAAAUCCCAUACGCAUCAGCAGUCCUUUCCCAUUCCUCCCUUCCCCAGUUCCCUAGCAACCAGUAACCUACUUUCUAUCUUGAUAUAUUUGCCUAUUCUGGACAUUACAAAUAAAUUAAAUCAUGUGAUACAUGAGUUUUUCUGUCUUGCCUUUUUCACUUAG
ensembl:lncRNA